UUAUUGAAUUAGGUUUUUCUUUCUUAGUUUAUUUCAAUGUAUUAAUUUUUUAAAAUUGACGAAUAGUAAUUAGGCAUAUUCACAGUAACACAGUGAGGUUCCGAUUCGAAUUAAGUUGUUUUUUUUUUUUUUAAGUGGAUGGUGGUCUUUAAUUAGUCUCAUGCAGUUCUCAACCCACACCAGCAGAGAGCGCUGUGCCCGCAGGACUCGGGCGGGGCCGUGCCGCGCUUUUCUCCCCAGCAACACCCGCCCGCGCACAGCCCUGGAGGCGCGGCCUCGCGGCAUCCCCGGCCACGCCUCACCCCGCCCUGCCCCCGCUCGCCGAGCGCCCGGCAGGGGCGGUGGUUGCGGCGCUGCGACUCGCCCGCGCCUCUCCCCGGCCGACCUGGGCGCAGCGGGGAGAGCCCGGCCUGGGACGGCGGGCGGGUUCCCCUCUGGUGCGCAGUAGGUUGCCAGGGCCUCUUUUCGAGACCAGGUGAAGAAUUUGUGGGUUGGAGUCAGAUCCAUUCACAGUUCAAUCCUGGUGGUGUUUCUGUCCAGUCUCAGUUUCCUGAUCUGUAAAAUGGGAAAAGGAGUAUCUUUCCUUCUAGUAGUCCCACGGGCUGUCGCAUCAGGAAGCUUGUGACCUACAAGGAGAGGUGACAGGGAGAAUCCCAAGAACAAUUACCAGGCUUUGUCUUUCUGCCGCCAGUGGCUAAGAAGGAGCAGCACUGUCCAGCCCGCCAUCUAAGAAGGGGCCAUUUCUGGACCCUGCUCUGUAUUUCCAGAGGCUGUUGACAAUCGCCUUCAUUUUCUUUUUCUUUCUUUCUUUCCUUCUUUCUUUCUUUCUCUUUCUUUUUCUUUUCUUUUUUUUCUUUGACGGCUAAAUAGUACUCCAUUAGUAUAGAUGUACCACACUUUCUUUUUUGACAGAGUC
rnacentral:lncRNA from 10 species